GACGAACGCUGGCGGCGUGCCUAAUACAUGCAAGUCCAACGCUUCUUUCCUCCCGAGUGCUUGCACUCAAUUGGAAAGAGGAGUGGCGGACGGGUGAGUAACACGUGGGUAACCUACCCAUCAGAGGGGGAUAACACUUGGAUACAGGUGCUAAUACCGCAUAACAGUUUAUGCCGCAUGGCAUAAGAGUGAAAGGCGCUUUCGGGUGUCGUUGAUGGAUGGACCCGCGGUGCAUUAGCUAGUUGGUGAGGUAACGGCUCACCAAGGCCACGAUGCAUAGCCGACCUGAGAGGGUGAUCGGCCACACUGGGACUGAGACACGGCCCAGACUCCUACGGGAGGCAGCAGUAGGGAAUCUUCGGCAAUGGACGAAAGUCUGACCGAGCAACGCCGCGUGAGUGAAGAAGGUUUUCGGAUCGUAAAACUCUGUUGUUAGAGAAGAACAAGGACGUUAGUAACUGAACGUCCCCUGACGGUAUCUAACCAGAAAGCCACGGCUAACUACGUG
rnacentral:rRNA from 1 species